rnacentral:rRNA from 1 species
GCAAGUCGAGCGGAAACGAAGAGUAGCUUGCUACUUUGGCGUCGAGCGGCGGACGGGUGAGUAAUGCCUGGGAAUAUACCAUAAGGUGGGGGACAACAGUUGGAAACGACUGCUAAUACCGCAUAUUGUCUACGGACGAAAGAGGGCCAAUGCUUGCAUGCUCUUGCCUUUUGAUUAGCCCAGGUGGGAUUAGCUAGUUGGUGAGGUAAAGGCUCACCAAGGCGACGAUCCCUAGCUGUUCUGAGAGGAUGAUC